rnacentral:rRNA from 1 species
ACCGGCCCGAGGAGGUGACCAUGUCCUAUCAGCUAGUUGGCGGUGUAACGGACCACCAAGGCAAAGACGGGUAUGGGGCGUGAGAGCGUGCCCCCACUCACUGGGACUGAGAACUGCCCAGACACCUACGGGUGGCUGCAGUCGAGAAUCUUCGGCAAUGGGCGCAAGCCUGACCGAGCGACACCGCGUGCGGGAUGAAGGCCUUCGGGUUGUAAACCGCUGUCGUAGGGGAGGAAGGUCUGGUGUAUAGCCAGGCUUGACCGAUCCUAGGAGGAAGGGCCGGCUAAUCUCGUGCCAGCAGCCGCGGUAAUACGAGAGGCCCAAACGUUAUUCGGAUUUACUGGGCUUAAAGAGUUCGUAGGCGGCGCGGAAAGUAGGGUGUGAAAGCCCUCGGCUCAACCGAGGAAUUGCGCUCUAAACUGUCGUGCUUGAGGAACCUAGAGGUGAGCAGAACUGAUGGUGGAGCGGUGAAAUGCGUUGAUAUCAUCAGGAAUACCGGAGGCGAAGGCGGCUCACUGGGGGUUAUCUGACGCUGAGGAACGAAAGCCAGGGGAGCAAACGGGAUUAGAU